rnacentral:rRNA from 1 species
UACGGAGGGUGCAAGCGUUAUCCGGAUUCACUGGGCUUAAAGGGUGCGUAGGCGGGCAGAUAAGUCAGUGGUGAAAUCUUCGAGCUUAACUCGGAAACUGCCGUUGAUACUAUUUGUCUUGAAUACCGUGGAGGUGAGCGGAAUAUGUCAUGUAGCGGUGAAAUGCUUAGAUAUGACAUAGAACACCAAUUGCGAAGGCAGCUCACUACACGAGCAUUGACUCUGAGGCACGAAAGCGUGGGGAUCAAACAGG